rnacentral:lncRNA from 1 species
ACUUGGACUAUGCUGUGGGGCUACCCUGGCUUCAGGCUCACAUAGCAAUAUCCAUACAUGACCUGUUAAUCUUUUGACUGCUUCUCUCAUAUAUAUAUAUAUACAAUUUUAAUUUUUAAUUUGUUUGUUUAUGUAUCUAUUUUUUUACAUAAUGAAGACCUGUAUUUCCAAAGAAGCAGCAGUAGCUGAAGAUAUGAUCACUCUGAUAAUAUUUUCUGCGAUUUUCUGUCUUUUUUUUAGGUUCCAGGGUGUUCUUUUUCAAAGAAUCCACACAUAUUGUAAGUCAUCCUACAUAAAAUCCGUGUUUACGAUAUAAACCUCGAUUUCAGUCCACCGUAGAGUGAGUUAUUGGCAUUUGAAUAAGAAGCAGAUGAUUGACACGUCUCUGUGCGCUAUGAAGUUAUGCACCAUAAAGUCUAGCAUGGGCUCAUCAGUUCCUUGACAAACGGUGACGUCGUUUGGAGAAUGUCACUGCUAAAGGACCCCAGUGACCAGCAAUAGAGACUAUAACCUCCAUUUUCUUCCCCAUGGAGAAAAAGCCCAUAAAAGGCUUUUUAAUUCUCUAAAAGUAUUCAUUUAGAAUCAAGAAACUCAAAACAUUUUACCAACCACUAAAUGUAAAGUAUCUACUGAGUCAUCAACUCUGCAACAUUUCGUGUGAGCUUUCGAAAUGUAACAAAUUCCUCAUGUUGCUCAUAAUUAUGGAAUAGCAGAGUGCAAAUAAAAUCCUUAAAUCCCAGGAAAACAAACGUUUUGGGUUAUGCCAAAUAUAUCUAAAUGUGCGUCUGUGCCCCUCUGAGUGAGCAGAGAGCAUGUCAUCCUUCCUACCAUUAGACCUGAUUGGACCAGGAAUGAGAGAAUCCAUUGACAGCCUAGUCCUGAGAUCUUGAACUGGGUGUCCUGGCUCCAGAAUGUGAGCAGGGUCAGUUAGACUCUGGCAGAGCCUUCUCUAAUAGGCAGCCAUGGGGGCCUGGCCGUAGUCCUGAACACUAAGAAGACUUGGAAGACGCUGAGUGGGAGCUGGUAACACUGUGGAAAGCACAGAAUUUUUGAGGAAGAGAGAUGGAGAUCGAAGAGAGAGUAUUCUCUGGAGAUCUUCCAAAGGACUGCAGAUUCAGCCUGUCCUGGAUUCUCACGAAGACAUUACACAACAUUUGUGAUAAUGUCCUUCUCUUUUGUUUCUUUUCUUCUUAAAAACUUUGAGCGCAUUUUCUGUUUCUUGCAAAUAAAAGAAACUUGACUAAGACAUGAUUACUACGGGUGCCUGACUACACAUAGGAGGCAGCCUGAUACACAAGGGAGAAGAGUUGUGGUUGCCGUAUACCCCAGCAAGGCAAUGCAUUAGUGGUGUG